rnacentral:siRNA from 1 species
UAGUUUUACCCUACUGAUGCCC